rnacentral:tRNA from 1 species
GCCGGUAUGGCGGAAUUGGUAGACGCAGCGGACUUAAAAUCCGCUUCGCCAUGAGUGUGGGUUCGAGUCCCGCUACCGGCACCA